rnacentral:rRNA from 1 species
UACGUAGGGGGCUAGCGUUGUCCGGAUUUAUUGGGCGUAAAGAGCGUGUAGGCGGCCAUGUAGGUCUGGUGUGAAAACUCGAGGCUUAACCUCGAGAUGUCAUCGGAAACCAUUUGGCUAGAGUCCGGAAGAGGAGAGUGGAAUUCCUGGUGUAGCGGUGAAAUGCGCAGAUAUCAGGAAGAACACCAAUGGCGAAAGCGGCUCUCUGGGACGGUACUGACGCUGAGACGCGAAAGCGUGGGGAGCGAACAGG